UUUCAAUUCGAUAAAGAUAGUUUUGCGUCAUUCGAGAGCGGUCAUUCGAGAUCAAUGUUUCAAAGAAAUAAGUACGAUUCGAUCGAACCGAAUUAAACGCGAUUAACGUCGAUUAUUAUAUCUCAUUUUGGGUGAAGUCGAUAACGUUUGAUAAGAGGACGUUAUCGGUAAUAAGGAAGAGAGGAAAAGGGAAAGAAGAGGAAGACAAGAAUUAUAUCGAAAUUAUCGUUGUUGAAGAAGUUAUCGGUGACCUUGCGUUUGAUAGAAGAAAGGAAAUUUGUUUUUGUUGGGAAAAACCAAUCAAUUGUGGGAUAAUUAAAAUGGCAGAAAAUUCAUUGUCCGAGUCGAACGAGAAAAUGCCUUUGGAGGAAGAAGCCAAGGAGGAAGUUAAAGUUGAAAAUGGAGAAGCCGUAGAGGAGUGUAACGCAAAGGAAUUUUGCGAAGAGGAUAACAAGGAUGAAAUUAAAAAGCGUACAAAAAGAAACAUUAUUAAAGCACCAUUAUUCGAGGUUAAAGAUGAUAAAACUCAAUAUCGUCGCGAUUCGAAUGGACGCUUAAGACCAGUCUAUUUUUAAUCGUAUAUUUUUAUAUUAAAUGCAGAAAAAAGAAGAGAUAAUAAAUUAAAUAAUAAAAUA